rnacentral:rRNA from 1 species
UCCGUAGGGGGCUAUCGUUAUCCGGAUUUACUGGGCGUAAAGGGUGCGUAGGUGGUUUCUUAAGUCAGGAGUGAAAGGCUACGGCUCAACCGUAGUAAGCUCUUGAAACUGGGAAACUUGAGUGCAGGAGAGGAAAGUGGAAUUCCUAGUGUAGCGGUGAAAUGCGUAGAUAUUAGGAGGAACACCAGUAGCGAAGGCGGCUUUCUGGACUGUAACUGACACUGAGGCACGAAAGCGUGGGGAGAAAACAGG